UACGUAGGGGGCAAGCGUUGUCCGGAUUUAUUGGGCGUAAAGAGCGUGUAGGCGGCUUUACAGGUCCGUUGUGAAAACUCGAGGCUCAACCUCGAGACGCCGGUGGAAACCGUAAAGCUAGAGUCCGGAAGAGGAGAGUGGAAUUCCUGGUGUAGCGGUGAAAUGCGCAGAUAUCAGGAGGAACACCUGUGGCGAAAGCGGCUCACUGGACCACAACUGACGCUGAGGCGCGAAAGCUAGGGGAGCAAACAGG
rnacentral:rRNA from 1 species